rnacentral:rRNA from 1 species
GGCCUUUUGCUUCCAAUCUAGUGGCGAACGGGUGAGUAAUACAUCGGAACGUACCGUGUAGUGGGGGAUAACGUAGCGAAAGUUACGCUAAUACCGCAUACGAUCCACGGAUGAAAGCAGGGGACCUUCGGGCCUUGUGCUAUACGAGCGGCCGAUGUCUGAUUAGCUAGUUGGUGAGGUAAAGGCUCACCAAGGCGACGAUCAGUAGCGGGUCUGAGAGGAUGAUCCGCCACACUGGGACUGAGACACGGUCCAGACUCCUACGGGAGGCAGCAGUGGGGAAUUUUGGACAAUGGGCGGAAGCCUGAUCCAGCCAUGCCGCGUGAGUGAAGAAGGCCUUCGGGUUGUAAAGCUCUUUCGGCCGGGAAGAAAUCGCAUGGGUUAAUACCCUGUGUGGAU